rnacentral:rRNA from 1 species
UACGUAGGGUGCAAGCGUUAAUCGGAAUUACUGGGCGUAAAGCGUGCGCAGACGGUUAUGCAAGACAGAUGUGAAAUCCCCGGGCUCAACCUGGGAACUGCAUUUGUGACUGCAUGGCUAGAGUACGGUAGAGGGGGAUGGAAUUCCGCGUGUAGCAGUGAAAUGCGUAGAUAUCUGGAGGAACACCGGUGGCGAAGGCGGCAUCCUGGACCAACACUGACGCUGAGGAGCGAAAGCCAGGGGAGCAAACGGG